rnacentral:tRNA from 2 species
GCCGAAGUGGCGGAAUGGUAGACGCGACGGUCUCAAAAACCGUUGGGAGCGAUCCCGUGUCGGUUCGACUCCGACCUUCGGCACCA